UGCAGUCGGACGGGAUUGAGGAGCUUGCUUCUCAUGAGAGUGGCGCACGGGUGCGUAACACGUAUGUAACCUACCUUGUUCAGGGGGAUAGCCUCUCGAAAGAGAGAUUAACACCGCAUAAAAUCAAUUUAUGGCAUCAUAGAAUGAUCAAAUAUUUAUAGGAACAAGAUGGGCAUGCGGAACAUUAGCUAGUUGGUAAGGUAACGGCUUACCAAGGCUACGAUGUUUAGGGGAUCUGAGAGGAUGACCCCCCACACUGGUACUGAGACACGGACCAGACUCCUACGGGAGGCAGCAGUAAGGAAUAUUGGUCAAUGGACGCAAGUCUGAACCAGCCAUGCCGCGUGCAGGAAGACGGCCCUACGGGUUGUAAACUGCUUUUGUACCGGAAUAAACCUUUUCACGUGUGAGAAGCUGAAUGUACGGUAAGAAUAAGGAUCGGCUAACUCCGUGCCAGCAGCCGCGGUAAUACGGAGGAUCCAAGCGUUAUCCGGAUUUAUUGGGUUUAAAGGGUGCGUAGGUGGCCUAUUAAGUCAGGGGUGAAAGACGGUAGCUUAACUAUCGCAGUGCCUUUGAUACUGAUGGGCUUGAAUACACUUGAGGUAGGCGGAAUGUGACAAGUAGCGGUAAAAUGCAUAGAUAUGUCACAGAACACCAAUUGCGAAGGCAGCUUACUAAAGUGUUAUUGACACUGAGGCACGAAAGCGUGGGGAUCAAACAGGAUUAGAUACCCUGGUAGUCCACGCCCUAAACGAUGAAUACUCGAUGUUGGCGAUAUACGGUCAGCGUCUAAGCGAAAGCGUUAAGUAUUCCACCUGGGGAGUACGCCCGCAAGGGUGAAACUCAAAGGAAUUGACGGGGGCCCGCACAAGCGGA
rnacentral:rRNA from 1 species